rnacentral:misc_RNA from 1 species
AGUCCAAUUACAAAUGAUACUCCCUCAACACAAGAACCAACAAAAAUAUCAGAUAUUAUAUCUUUAUUACAAACCUUUGCCCAGACCAAUAAUAAUAUACCGUCCAUCGUUGCCCCCUUAAUGGAGUUACUUGUAAAUUUACUUAAAAUAAAUAAUGGCCAACAAAAUCAUACAAUGGAACGCUAGAAGUAUAGUUAAUAAGAAAAGUGAUCUAAUUUACUUAUUAAAUAAAUAUAAACCAUUCUUGUUUUCAUUAUGUGAAACUUGGCUUAGACCAGGUUUUACAUUAAAUAUUAAAAAUUAUAAUACUGUCAGAGAAGACAGAUUAGAUGGAUAUGGUGGUGUAGCUCUUCUCAUUAAGAAAGACUAUCCUUUUAAUAUAGUAUCCAUUCCUGUACAUAGUCCAGAAAUUUCUAUUUUAGCUGUUAC